AAAUAUGCAAAUAGACUUGGUAUCAGAAGGUCACUUAUUGGUUAAAAUUGGCAGAAACAGCACUAGGAAGGGUAAUUCCUAAAUUCAGAGAAAUAUUAGAAAAUAGCAUCCCCCUUUUAUAGUGCCCAUAAAUAUAAAAUGGUAAUGGAAUCAAAAUAGUCUCUCUUUAGUUAUAACUUUUUUAGGGCAGAGCCGAGCCUCUAGCUUUCCAAUUGCUUUCUCCCCACAAUUAUUAAACCUGACAUAGAAAGAAUUCACUUCGUUUUAAUUUAUUUUCUUGUGGUCAAAGAAGAAUAUUUGGCAGCAGGGGUUUCGUAGUUGACUUUUCUCAGGCUCAACUAAACUUUAGCACCAGAUUCACAUUCCAAAUAACCUAUACAUUUUUUACUCCUGGUGUAAUUAUUCAGCACCACUGUGGGUGAACUUCUGAAGGAAAUAUAUGAACUAGUUAGUCAUAGUGUAAAGAAAAACAUUUAACUUAAAGCAAGGAGACAAACGCAACUGCUGUGUCUUUUAGGGAUAGGAGCAAUCAUUUCAGGAAAGAAAGUUCUCUCGAUGUUGAUAGUGCAAAAGUAAUGUGGUGAUGGAAAUAGACUGAGGAAUAGAGGGGGAAACAGAAUUUUAAAAAGUACAGAAGCAGUAAUUGCCUCAUCUUGCACAGGAGAAAUUUAAGUUGUAAACUCAAGUUGUAAACAGGCAAAAAAAACCACAGAAGUUCCUUCUCUGGAGCAACUGGACAGCAACAAAGAAGACACCUAUAAACAUCAGUAUUUGGAUAUUCAUUGUCCUAUACUUGUCAUGAGAUAGGACAACCAAAAACUCAAUGGCUCAGAGCAGGUAGAACUUUAUUUUUCUUUCAAAAACAGUUCGGAGGCAAAAACCCAGUCAGGAUGGAAGGCAGUACUGCUCAACAUGGUCAACUAGGGACUAGGGCCUUUUCUCCUUGUUGCUUUAAUAUCCCCUAGGAUGCUGUCCUUCUCAAAAAGGCAGAAGCUGGCUCUCAGGCACCCUAUCAGCAUUUCAGCCCUCAAGAGUAUGGAAGAGGAAGAGGAGAGCAAGAAGCUUCCUUUUUAAGAAGGCUUUUUCCACAACCAUCGAAGGCUACUCUGAUUUGCAAUUAGCAGGAUAAACUGAAGAUAACACCUUGCAGAAGCAGAUCUCAAUUAACAACUGAUGGAAGUAUGUAUAAAUAUCCCAGCUCCCUACCCUUAGCUAUGAUUACUCUGAGGUGCGAGUUCACCAUCUUUAUCAGUGUCCCUUGGGAUGAGGCUGUGGUCAUCCUAACUAGCUUGCUAACAUAUCCUUUUUGGUUGACUUUCCUUCCAUAUCUCACUGCCUUUCUCUCCUGGUGUUUCCUGCACCUCCUAAACAAAUUACCUACAUUUUAAUUCUUGUUUCAAGGUCUGUUUCUAGGACUUUGGGAGAAAGACACACAAGAAUAAGAAAGGAAUUGAUAAAGCAUAUGAUAUCUCAACAUUUGGAAUAGAUUUGGUAGACUGAAAAAUCUCUUGGUGCAUUUAGGAGGAAAUGUAAAUAGAAAUAUAGAAAACAAAACAAGCAAGCAAACAAACAUUACUGGAAAAGGACAUUAUAGACAACGUAUUAAAACAAAAGCAAUGAAACAUACUCACAAAACGCUAUUUGGUAUACUGCAUAGUCAUAACAUGUAAAAGUUAUUAUUGAUGUAACCAAAAUUAUGCAAUAAUUAUAUUGAAACAAAAAGAAAAAGCAGGUGAUAUAUUAGAAGAUGAUUAAAUAUAUAUAUCUGUAAUCAAUAGAUAACAGCUAAAAUGAAUAAUUUAAGAAAAAUAGAAAAAACAUUGCCUUAAAAUAUGAACAUAAAUAUCAGGAAAAAAAUGUUGCAAGAUAUGACAGUGGUUCUCUGGGAGUAGGGAAAGGGAACUGUGUGCACCAGAUAAUAUGCUAAUUUGUUAAACGUGAAUGUAUCUUAAUUUUAAAGAUAAAUAAAGUUGAUAGGUCAAGAAAUAGAUGCGUUUCUAACAUGGUUUAUAAUUUAUAGAAUUAUGUACAAAGUUAAAAUCUUAAAUGUGAAAUUUAAAUUUAAAAUGGAAAGAGAAAAAUGGGUAAUAUAAUGGAGGUAAGCUCUCUAUACCUACCUUUAUUGUUUUAAUAUUUGUUAGAAUAUAUAUGUAUUUAUUUUAAAUAACUUUUAAAAGGGAUUUAAAUAAAAGGAUAAAUUAAAGAAUGGAAGGAUAAUUUAAAUCUAUGUGAAAAUAAGUCAAAACUACUCCUUUAUAUUAGUAAAGAAUGGUAAGAAAGGAAAAAUAAAGGGCUAAUAUUUAAAAACCUCAACUGUUUUUUCUGUACUCUUAAAGACUGAGACUUGGGGUGGAUCUUUGUUUAAGCAUGUUAAUAACAUGAAAAUAUACACAUACAUAAUUACCCAUUCUUAUCCACUCAUAAAAUGGUGUGGAAAGUGACUUUCUGGAUAGUGGAAAUUUUAAUUUUAUUUAUGAAAUUAGUUCAUUUAUGGUUGGUGGAAUAGAAGAUCCUCAGCACCACUCCUCCCCACAAAAGUACAGCUAGUAACUAUUCAAAGACAAGAACACCACCUUGAAUUCACCAGAACCUGAGAGAGAAGAGGAGAAAGCCCCUACAACAAAACCACAACUGGUAACAGAAAUGGCCAUUUUAGACUGUGCCACCCUCUCCCCUAAGCUGGCAUAACCGCCACUCACAGAGAACUUCCCUGGACCCACAGUUUCCAAGAUGGAAGGAGGGAACUGGAAGUGGACAUUCUAUCUCCCCACUGGUCUGGGAAUUUUCAUGGGAAGCCCAUGGCAGUCCUGUCCCACAGGAAGCACUGGGAAUGCCAGGAGGACUGAACCACCUGGGGUGAAUUGAAGACAAGUGGGGGGAAAAGGUGCUUAUCACGGGGAAUGGCAUGUGGAUCUUGGUGGCUACUCUGCAUUUAAAUCAGCUGGGCAUCACACAGAGGAGACUGGAUAGUGCCAUAGUGCUUCAUGGGACACAACCCAUGGGAAGGCCUGAGUCCCUGGUCAGAUUUCCCACACGGCCCGGAUGCUUACAUGGAACUUUCCCCUGACCUGGAAGCAACUGAAAGGUCAGUGAUGAAGUUCUGGUGCUCUCUUAAGUCUUCCCCAGACCUGGAAACCACUGCAGGUCUGUGUUUAAGUUCCUGUGCGAGCUAUAAGUUCUGGUACUCACAAUAAGUCUUCCCCAGAUUGGGAAAAAAUGAAAGGGUGGUGAUUUAGUUCCAGGGAAGUGUUUAAGUUCUGGUGCUCAAUAUAAAUCCUUUCCAGAAUGGGAAGCAACUACAGGCCAGCAAAUAAAGUUCUAAUGUUAAGUAAUAAAAGUCUAACAUCACCAAAGAACACCUGCAAAAGUUGGAAGAGGUGGCCAUCUCUUCGAAUGAACAGGCAUCAAUGUAAAGACACAAGACUGAAAAAAAAUCAGGGAAAAAAACCAACAAAGCUCUGGUAAUAGACCCUGAAGAAUUAAAGAUCUGUGAGCUGCCUGAGAAAUAAUUAAUAAUAACCCUCUUUUAAAAAUUCAGGAAAUCACAAAAAAUAUCAAUAGAAAAUUAAAUAAAAUUUAUAAAACAAUCCAGAAACAAAAUAAGAAAUUUGACAAAGAAAUAAGAACAAUUUUUAUUUGAUGUUUGUUUUU
rnacentral:lncRNA from 10 species